UACGGCUAUAUCACGCGGAAACAACGCUUCCUGUAUGAUCACCGUAAUUAAGCAACGUCAGACCUGGUCAGUACGUAGAUGGGUGACUUCUUGGGAAUACCAGGUGUUGCAAU